rnacentral:rRNA from 1 species
CAGCAGCCACGGUAAUACGAAGGGUGCAAGCGUUACUCGGAAUUACUGGGCGUAAAGCGUGCGUAGGUGGUGGUUUAAGUCCGUUGUGAAAGCCCUGGGCUCAACCUGGGAAUUGCAGUGGAUACUGGGUCACUAGAGUGUGGUAGAGGAUAGUGGAAUUUCCGGUGUAGCAGUGAAAUGCGUAGAGAUCGGAAGGAACAUCUGUGGCGAAGGCGACUAUCUGGGCCAACACUGACACUGAGGCACGAAAGCGUGGGGAGCAAACAGGAUUAGAUACCCGCGUGUCCCUGUCUCUUAUACA